AGCGAACGCUGGCGGCAGGCCUAACACAUGCAAGUCGAACGAACCUUCCGUGGUUAUUGGCGGUCGUGUGAUUACCACGUGGGAACGUGCCUUUAGGUUCGGAACCCCUCAGGGUAACUUGUGCUAAUACCGCUUGUGCCCUUCCGGGGAAAGAUUGCUCGCCUCUAGAGCGGCCCGCGUCUGUUUAGCUGGUUGGGUGUGGAAAUGGCUCACCAAGGCGACGAUCAGUAGCUGGUCUGUGCAGAUGAUCAGUCACAUUGGAAAUGAGACACGGACCAAACUCCUACGGGGGGCAGGAGAGGGGAAUCUUACGGAAUGAGCGAAGGCGUAACACAGCCAUGCCGGGUGAAUGAUGAAGGUCGUAGGAUUGUAAAAUUCUUUCACCGGAGGCGAUAAUGACGGUAACCGGAAAAGAAGCACCGGCUAACUUCGUG
rnacentral:rRNA from 1 species